GCCAGUAUGGUGUAGUGGUUUGAGUGUUGGACUGUGAUUUUGCAGGCUGGGGUUCAAUUCCCAGCUCAGCCA